rnacentral:rRNA from 1 species
AACGAACGCUGGCGGUAUGCUUAACACAUGCAAGUCGAACGGACUUAUUAGAGCUUGCUUUAAUAAGUUAGUGGCAAACGGGUGAGUAACACGUGGGAAUCUACCCAUCAGUACGGAAUAACAUUUGGAAACAAAUGCUAAUACCGUAUAUUCUCUACGGAGGAAAGAUUUAUCGCUGAUGGAUGAGCCCGCGUUAGAUUAGGUAGUUGGUAGGGUAAUGGCCUACCAAGCCGACGAUCUAUAGCUGGUCUGAGAGGAUGAUCAGCCACACUGGGACUGAGACACGGCCCAGACUCCUACGGGAGGCAGCAGUGGGGAAUAUUGGACAAUGGGCGAAGCCUGAUCCAGCAAUACCGCGUGAGUGAUGAAGGCCUUAGGGUU